rnacentral:rRNA from 1 species
GUCUAUAGUUAUUCCACCCUGCACGUGCCCCAUCUCCUCGGAUCUCGGAAGCUAAGCAGGGUUGGGCCUGGUUAGUACUUGGAUGGGAGAAUACAAGUCAUAGACAAUGACUCCCCUUCAGAAAAAGCAGGGCUUGUCUUUC